UCCCCCUACCACCCCAGACCACGGGCCUGUUGUGUCCUGAUCUCCCCAGACCCUCGGGUCAAACAGCAACUUCUAGGCCAGGCUGCCAGCUUAUCCACCCUCCCUGUGACGUCAUGGACCUUUAGGAACCCAGAUUAAAACAAACACAACUUUAUUUGAACAACACCAAAAGUACGGAUGAUCCUUUCACGGAAUAAAAUAACUGUUUAUCAUUAGAGGCGCACUUGACUAAAAUCAUAGUUGCUGUCUGAC